GAUGAACGCUGGCGGUCUGCUUAACACAUGCAAGUCGAACGGAAUCCUUCGGGAUUUAGUGGCGGACGGGUGAGUAACGCGUGAGAAUCUGCCUUCAGGUUCGGGACAACAGCUGGAAACGGCUGCUAAUACCGGAUGUGCCGAGAGGUGAAAGCUUUAGUGCCUGAAGAUGAGCUCGCGUCUGAUUAGCUAGUAGGAGUGGUAAUGGCACCCCUAGGCGACGAUCAGUAGCUGGUCUGAGAGGAUGAUCAGCAACACUGGGACUGAGACACGGCCCAGACUCCUCCGGGAGGCAGCAGUGGGGAAUUUUCCGCAAUGGGCGCAAGCCUGACGGAGCAAGACCGCGUGAGGGAAGAAGGUCUGUGGAUUGUAAACCUCUUUUGAUGGGGAAGAAGACAGUGACGGUACCCAUCGAAUCAGCCUCGGCUAACUCCGUGCCAGCAGCCCGCCGUAA
rnacentral:rRNA from 1 species